AUUGAACGCUGGCGGCAUGCCUUACACAUGCAAGUCGAACGGCAGCACGGGAGCAAUCCUGGUGGCGAGUGGCGAACGGGUGAGUAAUAUAUCGGAACGUGCCCAGUCGUGGGGAUAACGUAGCGAAAGCUACGCUAAUACCGCAUACGAUCUACGGGAUGAAAGCGGGGGAUCGCAAGACCUCGCGCGAUUGGAGCGGCCGAUAUCAGAUUAGGUAGUUGGUGAGGUAAAGGCUCACCAAGCCGACGAUCUGUAGCUGGUCUGAGAGGACGACCAGCCACACUGGGACUGAGACACGGCCCAGACUCCUACGGGAGGCAGCAGUGGGGAAUUUUGGACAAUGGGCGCAGGCCUGAUCCAGCAAUGCCGCGUGCAGGAUGAAGCUCGG
rnacentral:rRNA from 1 species